GGCGGCGGCUGCCGUAGUUUCAGUAUAAACGAGGAACCCGACUGGUUAGACAGAUUUUGUUUUUCUUCUUCCCGCGCGCUUUAGCUCCCUGUCCUUUGGUCGCAUUUGUGGGCGCGCGGCACGCAGCCGGGAGGCGGAGGACUCGGAGUUCACCUACAGGAAAGUAUGCCUCAGACUCCUCCCUUUUCAGCAAUGUUUGACAGCAGUGGUUACAAUCGAAACCUCUAUCAGUCUGCAGAGGACAGCUGUGGAGGGUUGUAUUACCAUGACAACAACCUCCUCUCUGGAUCCCUGGAAGCACUCAUCCAGCACUUAGUACCUAAUGUGGAUUACUAUCCAGAUGUAGGUAUUCAUGUUUCUCUGAAACACAUCCUUGGCAAUGAGUAGAAAUUGCAGUACAGUAGGCAGGGACCAUAGAUAAUACAGAAUUAUAUCUAGGUUGCUAAGAAUUUUUCUAACAAGAAAUUGCAUAUUGAUUAUCAAGUGCAUUGAAAUCAAAUUGAGCCUGGAUAAGGAUCAGAUUUUGGUAUACUAUGUGUAUCAAUUUCUUUUCAGGUUAGUUACAACAUUGUAGAUGAUCUGAUACCAUCUAAAUGAAGUAUCUGUAGAGCUGAUUCAUGCAUAUAGCUUAGUCCUUAAAUAGAAAUGUCAGAGAACAUUGGAUGCUCCCAGAAUAUGUAAUGCCUUUUUU
rnacentral:sRNA from 1 species